CUCAGGUAGAAUCCUCUGAUCGAUGGGCGGUAGUGACGAUUUCUUUUUAGGGCGCAGAAGAGUCCCGAGGAAGAUCUUGUGGCAAUCAAUAAAAUCUUGG
rnacentral:pre_miRNA from 1 species